AGUCGAGCGGGGGAAGGUAGCUUGCUACUGGACCUAGCGGCGGACGGGUGAGUAAUGCUUAGGAAUCUGCCUAUUAGUGGGGGACAACAUCUCGAAAGGGAUGCUAAUACCGCAUACGUCCUACGGGAGAAAGCAGGGGAUCUUCGGACCUUGCGCUAAUAGAUGAGCCUAAGUCGGAUUAGCUAGUUGGUGGGGUAAAGGCCUACCAAGGCGACGAUCUGUAGCGGGUCUGAGAGGAUGAUCCGCCACACUGGGACUGAGACACGGCCCAGACUCCUACGGGAGGCAGCAGUGGGGAAUAUUGGACAAUGGGGGGAACCCUGAUCCAGCCAUGCCGCGUGUGUGAAGAAGGCCUUAUGGUUGUAAAGCACUUUAAGCGAGGAGGAGGCUACUUUAGUUAAUACCUAGAGAUAGUGGACGUUACUCGCAGAAUAAGCACCGGCUAACUCUGUGCCAGCAGCCGCGGUAAUACAGAGGGUGCGAGCGUUAAUCGGAUUUACUGGGCGUAAAGCGUGCGUAGGCGGCUUAUUAAGUCGGAUGUGAAAUCCCCGAGCUUAACUUGGGAAUUGCAUUCGAUACUGGUGAGCUAGAGUAUGGGAGAGGAUGGUAGAAUUCCAGGUGUAGCGGUGAAAUGCGUAGAGAUCUGGAGGAAUACCGAUGGCGAAGGCAGCCAUCUGGCCUAAUACUGACGCUGAGGUACGAAAGCAUGGGGAGCAAACAGGAUUAGAUACCCUGGUAGUCCAUGCCGUAAAC
rnacentral:rRNA from 1 species